ensembl:lncRNA
AGAUCUCAGACCAGGCCUUCACUAUCCUACAGAUAUCAAACCAGAUCUCAGACCAGGCCUUCACUAUCCUACAGAUAUCAAACCAGAUCUCAGACCAGGCCUUCACUAUCCUACAGAUAUCAAACCAGAUCUCAGACCAGGGCUUCACUAUCCUACAGAUAUCAAACCAGAUCUCAGACCAGGGCUUCACUAUCCUACAGAUAUCAAACCUGAGCUUCACUAUUCUACAGAUAUCAAACCUGAGUUUCACUAUCCUACAGAUAUCAGAUCUGAUCUCAGACCAGACCUUCACUUCAUACGUACCCUUAUCACACGAUCAUUCCAACCAAACGAUGCUGGCUCUGAAGGCUUUUCCCAUGGUCCUUUUCAGCAUGGUUCUAGCAACGAUGGUGGAUGCGUAACCAGGCCAGCUCGGUAGUGUAUGAUCCAACAACCUGCUGCAUAUAUUGUUAGACUGAUAAUGGUCCAAAAUGACCAUACAAUAAACAGUUUCGUGCCAGUCCUGGCUUUCUAAGUGUUGACAAAGAAGAAAUGAUUUUGUAUGUAUUUUAACGUUACAGAAUUAAAGAAUUCUUUAUUUUCCAACACUGGUUCAAAAAUGUAUCUCAAGGUUUUUAAUGUUUAUAUUGCUGCUUUUGGGGAGAGGGUGCUCAUGUUGAUUUGGCUGAGGACUAUGUAGAGAACACAGUGUGAGGGAAUGGCUUGAGUUACGUUUAUUUCACAGUGUUCUUUUUGUUGGCUGAUUUUCCCAAAUUACUUCACAAAAUGGAGGGUGUGUUUAUCACUGCAUCAGUGAGCCAGUGAGAAUUCCUCCAUUUUGAGGCGUAGAGUGGAUGGUCUCUACAGAACCACUCUGAUCCAAACAAGGGAGGGGUAUCACAUCAGUAUUGAUAACGAAGAGACUGACUGCACAGUGAACAGUUACUACCAGGGGCUGUGUGUACAUGUAUCAACCGUCUCCUGAGUAUAAAUGCUGAUCUAGGAUCAGGUCCACACUGUCCAUGGAAUCUUAUUCAUUGUAAUCUAAAAGGCUAAUCUGAUCCUAGAUCAGCACUCCUACUCCGAGACCCUUUAUGAGUACGGGCAUACAGACAUACCUAAAUAAGAUAGACCUCAUUACCCGACUCUGGUACCUGUAGUUUUCAGAGCUAUGCGAUACACCUGCUAUUUAAUGGCGCUACCUUAAAGCCCGUUGUGAUUAACUUUCCAGCAUGCUGAUAUGCUCCCAGAAGUCAUGUUUCAUGUCUGCACAGUGAAAAUAAAAAAUAAACAUUUUUUUGUCAGGACAUUUUAGAUUGAAAGCUUAAUACUAAUAAAUAUAUGCAGCGAUUUAAUAUCUGACCUGUAACCUGUCGUUUGUCUUUUCUGAAUAACUAAACAUGUUUUGUGUGUGUGUGGUGUGCAGCGCAUGUUCAAACCCUUUCCAGAAUGUACACGUU